UAGGGAAUCUUCGGCAAUGGACGAAAGUCUGACCGAGCAACGCCGCGUGAGUGAAGAAGGUUUUCGGAUCGUAAAACUCUGUUGUUAGAGAAGAACAAGGACGUUAGUAACUGAACGUCCCCUGACGGUAUCUAACCAGAAAGCCACGGCUAACUACGUGCCAGCAGCCGCGGUAAUACGUAGGUGGCAAGCGUUGUCCGGAUUUAUUGGGCGUAAAGCGAGCGCAGGCGGUUUCUUAAGUCUGAUGUGAAAGCCCCCGGCUCAACCGGGGAGGGUCAUUGGACACUGGGAGACUUGAGUGCAGAAGAGGAGAGUGGAAUUCCAUGUGUAGCUGUGAAAUGCGUAGAUAUAUGGAGGAACACCAGUGGCGAAGGCGGCUCUCUGGUCUGUAACUGACGCUGAGGCUCGAAAGCGUGGGGAGCAAACAGG
rnacentral:rRNA from 1 species